AUUGCACGCUGGCGGCAGGCCUAACACAUGCAAGUCGAGCGGAGCGGCGGAAGGGUGAGUAAUGCCUAGGAAUCUGCCUGGUAGUGGGGGAUAACGUCCGGAACCGGGCGCGAAUAUCGCAUACUCUCAGAAGAGCCUAGGUCGGAUUGGCUAGUUGGUGGGGUAAAGGCCUACCAAGGCGACGAUCCUUAACUGGUAUGAGAGGAUGAUCAGUCAAACUGGAACGGAGACACGGUCCAUACUCCUACGGGAGGCAGUAGUGGGGAAUAUUGGACAAGGGGCGAAAGCCUGAUCCAGCCAUGCCGCGUGUGUGAAGAAGGUCUUCGGAUUGUAAAGCACUUUAAGUUGGGAGGCGUUACCAACAGAAUAAGCACCGGCUAACUUCGUGCCAGCAGCCGCGGUAAUAC
rnacentral:rRNA from 1 species